GGGAAUCUAGCAUAAUUGGUUAAUGUCCUAAAUUGUCAGUUUAGAUGAUGCCCGUUCGAAUCGGGUGAUUCUCG
rfam:Pseudozyma hubeiensis SY62 DNA, scaffold: PHS2.